AAACCAGCACCUCAAGUGGUCAGGAUGAUUAUUGGGCCUAAAGCAUCCGUAGCCUGCUCUGUAAGUUUUCGGUUAAAUCUGUAUGCUCAACAUACAGGCUGCCGGGAAUACUGCAGAGCUAGGGAGUGGGAGAGGUAGACGGUACUCGGGAGGAAGUGGUAAAAUGCGUUGAUCUCUCGAUGACCACCUGUGGCGAAGGCGGUCUACCAGAACACGUCCGACGGUGAGGGAUGAAAGCUGGGGGAGCAAACCGGAUUAGAAACCCGAGUAGUCC
rnacentral:rRNA from 1 species